rnacentral:rRNA from 1 species
UAGUAACGGCGAGUGAACCGGGAUGAGCUCAAAUUUAAAAUCUGGCGUCUUUCAGGCGUCCGAGUUGUAAUCUAUAGAGGCGUUUUCCGCGCCGGACCGCGUCCAAGUCUCUUGGAAUAGAGUAUCAAAGAGGGUGACAAUCCCGUACUUGACGCGACAACCGGUGCUCUGUGAUACGUUCUCAAUGAGUCGAGUUGUUUGGGAAUGCAGCUCUAAAUGGGUGGUAAAUUCCAUCUAAGGCUAAAUAUUGGCGAGAGACCGAUAGCGAACAAGUACCGUGAGGGAAAGAUGAAAAGCACUUUGGAAAGAGAGUUAAACAGCACGUGAAAUUGUUAAAAGGGAAACGAUUGAAGUCAGUCGUGUGAAAGGUAUUCAGCCGUCUCUGGCGGUGUAUUUGCCUUUCACGGGUCAACAUCAGUUUGAUCCGGUAGAAAAAGGCGGGAGGAAGGUGGCACCCUCGGGUGUGUUAUAGCCUCCUGUCAUAUGUGCCGGACCAGACUGAGGAACGCAGCUUGCCGCAAGGCCGGGGUUCGCCCACGUACAAGCUUAGGAUGUUGACAUAAUGGCUUUAAACGACCCG